rnacentral:rRNA from 1 species
AGAGUUGAUCCUGGCUCAGGACGAACGCUGGCGGCGCGCCUAACACAUGCAAGUCGAACGAGCGAGAGGAGGUUUACUUCUCAAGCGAGUGGCGAACGGGUGAGUAACGCGUGAGGAACCUGCCUCAAAGAGGGGGACAACAGUUGGAAACGACUGCUAAUACCGCAUAAGCCCACGACCUGGCAUCGGGUAGAGGGAAAAGGAGCAAUCCGCUUUGAGAUGGCCUCGCGUCCGAUUAGCUAGUUGGUGAGGUAAUGGCCCACCAAGGCGACGAUCGGUAGCCGGACUGGAGAGGUUGAACGGCCACCAUUGGGACUGAGACACGGCCCAGACUCCUACGGGAGGCAGCA